rnacentral:rRNA from 1 species
CCUACGGGUGGCAGCAGUGGGGAAUAUUGGGCAAUGGAGGCAACUCUUACCCAGCAAUGCCGCGUGAAUGAAGAAGGUCUUCGGAUUGUAAAGUUCUUUAAGUGGGGACGAAAAAAAUGACGGUACUCAAGGAAUCAGCCCCGGCUAACUACGUGCCAACAGCCGCGGUAAUACGUAGGGGGCAAGCGUGGUUCGGAAUGACUGGGCGUAAAGGGUGUGUAGGCGGGGUAGCAAGUGAGGAGUGAAAUACCUGGAGCUUAACUCAGGAGCUGCUUCUAACACUGCUAUACUUGAGUGCAGUAGAGGAAAGUGGAAUUCCUGGUGUAGCGGUGGAAUGCGUAGAUAUUAGGAGGAACAUCAGUGGCGAAGGCGACUUUCUGGACUAUAACUGACGCUGAGGCACGAAAGUGUGGGGAGCAAACAGGAUUAGAUACCCUUGUAGUC